rnacentral:rRNA from 1 species
AUACGUAGGUGGCAAGCGUUGUCCGGAAUUAUUGGGCGUAAAGCGCGCGCAGGCGGUCCUUUAAGUCUGAUGUGAAAGCCCACGGCUCAACCGUGGAGGGUCAUUGGAAACUGGGGGACUUGAGUGCAGAAGAGGAAAGUGGAAUUCCAAGUGUAGCGGUGAGAUGCGUAGAGAUUUGGAGGAACACCAGUGGCGAAGGCGACUGUCUGGUCUGUAACUGACACUGAGGCGCGAAAGCGUGGGGAGCAAACAGGAUUAGAUACCCUGGCAGUCCACGCCGUAAACGAUGAGUGCUAAGUGUUGGGGGGUUUCCGCCCCUCAGUGCUGCAGCUAACGCAUUAAGCACUCCGCCUGGGGAGUACGGUCGCAAGACUGAAACUCAAAGGAAUUGGCGGGG